rnacentral:rRNA from 1 species
CAGCAGCCACGGUAAUACGUAGGUGGCAAGCGUUGUCCGGAAUUAUUGGGCGUAAAGGGCUCGCAGGCGGUUUCUUAAGUCUGAUGUGAAAGCCCCCGGCUUAACCGGGGAGGGUCAUUGGAAACUGGGAGACUUAGAGUGCAGAAGAGGAGAGUGGAAUUCCAUGUGUAGCGGUGAAAUGCGUAGAUAUAUGGAGGAACACCUGUGGCGAAGGCGACUCUCUGGUCUGUAACUGACGCUGAGGCGCGAAAGCGUGGGGAGCAAACAGGAUUAGAUACCCCCGUAGUCCCUGUCUCUUAUA